CGGACCCCUCGCUAAAGGCUCGCUUGCUUAUGCUUUACCUUUUAACACUGAGCUAUCUUCUUUCUGUCGUUAGUUUCGUAGUUACUACAAAUGGAUUUGGAAAGUGAGGAGAUGCUUAAGGAAGUAUUAAAGGAGCAAAAAAGGCUUCUUGUUCUACAUUUUUGGACAACAUGGUCUGAGCCUAGCCGACACAUUAAUGAAGCUCUUACUGAUUUGUCUCAAACCUAUUCACAACAUCGUUUCAUAAAGAUAGAGGCAGAAGAGCAAAGUCAGGUAUCCUUAAAGUACUCUGUGACAGCUGUUCCAACUGUUGUAUUUGUCAAGAUACCUCCCUGGAACACUUAGAAAUUUAGCACUCAAUCUGCACUCAGACAGUAUACCUCCCCUAUCAUCAUAAAUAUUAGAGUAAAUGAAAGGGAUUACAAACUUCCUUUCGCGUCUGGAAAUGCUAGUUACCAAUACCGUAUUAAUUAGUCGUAUGUAAAAUUGAAAAUGGCUAGACAAGUAAAGUAGGUAACCCUUCAUUAAUGCAGACAGACACUCUUUCUACUUGCCCAAGUAGUCUGCUGUGGCAAUCAUGAUGUUUGCAGUUGGAAUUCAUUGUUGAUCAACACUGGCAAUCACUAAUCACCAUAAUGCAUGUUUAAGACCAAAGACCAUUUAGUUUUUAAGUUAAAGGUACAAAACUAACCUUUCGAACUUAACAGUACAUUGAUCAUUACAGAAUGACGGAAUCAUAUUUUCAAAUGUAACAAAGUGGAUGACCUCCACCUAUUGAUGCUCUAUUGAAUGAUUUAAUUAGUUGUUAUCAUUUGUUAAACACUUUUAAGAAAAAGAUACAAAACAAAAUGUAGUUGCAAGUUGCAACCACUCCCAAUCGAGAGCAAAAAAAUUAGUGCAAGUAAUGAUGAAUGCACCUGAAAAGUUGUCUGGGGAUAAAGACAUGUUUCCUCUGCUUUAUUUCUCAUAAAUCUUGAUGAAUAAUGACACUACUAACUAUUGACAGCCUUUGACAGGUCACAAACAAGACGCUUGCUAAAAGUGAGCAGCCAUUGCUAAGAAUAGGGGUAACCUGCAUCUGUUACCUAGCGAUACACAAAGCCAAUCUAAAAACACUGAAGUUUCCAAUCCCUUUCAUUUAGUCUAUUAUCUAUGCUAUCAUCCCCUCCCUAUUGGAACACAACUACUAAAGAGUGAGGCACUGGGCCCUUCACACCAAGUGGUAUCAUUAAGCUAAAGACUACAUUUUGCGCAAAUCAUUCACAGAAUACUUGGAACCUCUAUAGUCUUUCCAUAGACUUAGAAAUGUGUAUUUUACAUGUCCUGCUAGUUUCAGACCUAUUGAAGCAAAUAUAGCUAUCAAAAAAGUGCCAUUAAGUUAGUCAUAAUCAGGCAGCCUAAAAUCCUUGAUUUACAAGAGCUGUUCUUCUACAUGUUUUUUGCCACAUACAGAUAGAACCAACUCUCCUCUUUGCUAUUACUAAGAAUGAGUUUCAUUUGUGCUUCUGUUUAAAAAAUACACCUCUACUUGCACGCCACCGUUCUGACUUUUUAGCCACAAAGCAAGUUUGAUUUUUGUGAAAAUCAUUCACAGGGGUGCUGGGCCUUUGCCAAAGGGUCUGGUACUGUACUUACCUUUGCUUAAUACAUUGUGAUUGUCCUUUGGUGCUUAGUCUUAUUUUUAUUCAGGCACUGAUUAUUAGGUGAUAUUUGGCUGUCAAAAGUUACUGGGCCCACGACUUCAAGUAUUGCGCAGUGUAUUAAGGGAGCGGGUGAACUUUUUAAAUUAUAUUCAUAGUUUUAUUAAUUAAUAACUUAUGCCACCCACGCAAUGAAAAAUUAAAAUCAAUUAUUGCGUACAAGUAAACAGUUGAGAAAACGGUCUCUUGCGAUCAUGGACUCUUCUAAAGACUUCGGUGAUGACUCAACCGGCUUUUUUCAAAGCCAUCAUUUCAGUGUUGAUCCAACCGGCUUUUUUCAAAGCCA